GAUGAACGCUGGCGGCGUGCCUAAUACAUGCAAGUCGAGCGAACGGACGAGAAGCUUGCUUUUCUGAUGUUAGCGGCGGACGGGUGAGUAACACGUGGAUAACCUACCUAUAAGACUGGGAUAACUUCGGGAAACCGGAGCUAAUACCGGAUAAUAUUUUGAACCGCAUGGUUCAAAAGUGAAAGACGGUCUUGCUGUCACUUAUAGAUGGAUCCGCGCUGCAUUGGCUAGUUGGUAAGGUCACGGCUUACCAAGGCAACGCUGCAUAGCCGACCUGAGAGGGUGAUCGGCCACACUGGAACUGAGACACGGUCCAGACUCCUACGGGAGGCAGCAGUAGGGAAUCUUCCGCAAUGGGCGAAAGCCUGACGGAGCAACGCCGCGUGAGUGAUGAAGGUCUUCGGAUCGUAAAACUCUGUUAUUAGGGAAGAACAUAUGUGUAAGUAACUGUGCACAUCUUGACGGUACCUAAUCAGAAAGCCACGGCUAACUACGUG
rnacentral:rRNA from 1 species